rnacentral:lncRNA from 1 species
ACCAACCCAACUAAGCAUUCGAUAAUUAAACUUAAGGUAACAGAAGUUUGUAGAUAAAUCCACAACCUUCCAGCAGUCAUUACAAAGAUUCGAAUCAUGCAAAUACACAAACAAAUUCAACGGACACAUCAAUUGUUCACAAGCACUCCAAACUCAACUGACACAACGAGACUACGAAAUAAAACAACUAUGGCAUCCUAGGCCUAUGGUGCGUCGCCGGAGAUGCUAGGAGGUGCGGUCUUCUUCUUGUAGAGCGGUGGCAACUCAAGCUGCUCUCUAAGGCUGUCC